UCCCUUUACUCCUACGGAGGCAGCAGUAGGGAAUAUUCCACAAUGAGCGAAAGCUUGAUGGAGCGACACAGCGUGCACGAUGAAGGUCUUCGGAUUGUAAAGUGCUGUUAUAAGGGAAGAACAUUUGCAAUAGGAAAUGAUUGCAGACUGACGGUACCUUGUCAGAAAGCGAUGGCUAACUAUGUGCCAGCAGCCGCGGUAAUACAUAGGUCGCAAGCGUUAUCCGGAAUUAUUGGGCGUAAAGCGUUCGUAGGCUGUUUGUUAAGUCUGGAGUUAAAUCCCGGGGCUCAACCCCGGCUCGCUUUGGAUACUAGCAAACUAGAGUUAGAUAGAGGUAAGCGGAAUUCCAUGUGAAGCGGUGAAAUGCGUAGAUAUAUGGAAGAACACCAAAGGCGAAGGCAGCUUACUGGGUCUAUACUGACGCUGAGGGACGAAAGCGUGGGGAGCAAACAGGAUUAGAUACCCUGGUAGUCCACGCCGUAAACGAUGAUCAUUAGUCGGUGGAGAAUCACUGACGCAGCUAACGCAUUAAAUGAUCCGCCUGAGUAGUAUGCUCGCAAGAGUGAAACUUAAAGGAAUUGACGGGGACCCGCACAAGCGGUGGAGCAUGUGGUUUUAUUUGAAGAUACACGGAAAACCUUACCCACUCUUGACAUCCUUCGCAAAGCUAUAGAGAUAUAGUGGAGGUUAACAGAGUG
rnacentral:rRNA from 1 species